rnacentral:rRNA from 1 species
AAAGUAGCUUGCUUCUUUGCUGACGAGCGGCGGACGGGUGAGUAAUGCUUGGGAACAUGCCUUGAGGUGGGGGACAACAGUUGGAAACGACUGCUAAUACCGCAUAAUGUCUACGGACCAAAGGGGGCUUCGGCUCUCGCCUUUAGAUUGGCCCAAGUGGGAUUAGCUAGUUGGUGAGGUAAUGGCUCACCAAGGCGACGAUCCCUAGCUGGUUUGAGAGGAUGAUCAGCCACACUGGGACUGAGACACGGCCCAGACUCCUACGGGAGGCAGCAGUGGGGAAUAUUGCACAAUGGGCGCAAGCCUGAUGCAGCCAUGCCGCGUGUGUGAAGAAGGCCUUCGGGUUGUAAAGCACUUUCAGUCAGGAGGAAAGGUUAACGGUUAAUACCCGUUAGCUGUGACGUUACUGACAGAAGAAGCACCGGCUAACUCCGUGCCAGCAGCCGCGGUAAUACGGAGGGUGCGAGCGUUAAUCGGAAUUACUGGGCGUAAAGCGUACGCAGGCGGUUUGUUAAGCGAGAUGUGAAAGCCCCGGGCUCAACCUGGGAACUGCAUUUCGA